GACGAACGCUGGCGGCGUGCUUAACACAUGCAAGUCGAACGGAAAGGCCCUGCUUUUGUGGGGUGCUCGAGUGGCGAACGGGUGAGUAACACGUGAGUAACCUGCCCUUGACUUUGGGAUAACUUCAGGAAACUGGGGCUAAUACCGGAUAGGAGCUCCUGCUGCAUGGUGGGGGUUGGAAAGUUUCGGCGGUUGGGGAUGGACUCGCGGCUUAUCAGCUUGUUGGUGGGGUAGUGGCUUACCAAGGCUUUGACGGGUAGCCGGCCUGAGAGGGUGACCGGCCACAUUGGGACUGAGAUACGGCCCAGACUCCUACGGGAGGCAGCAGUGGGGAAUAUUGCACAAUGGGCGGAAGCCUGAUGCAGCAACGCCGCGUGCGGGAUGACGGCCUUCGGGUUGUAAACCGCUUUCGCCUGUGACGAAGCGUGAGUGACGGUAAUGGGUAAAGAAGCACCGGCUAACUACGUGCCAGCAGCCGCGGUGAUACGUAGGGUGCGAGCGUUGUCCGGAUUUAUUGGGCGUAAAGGGCUCGUAGGUGGUUGAUCGCGUCGGAAGUGUAAUCUUGGGGCUUAACCCUGAGCGUGCUUUCGAUACGGGUUGACUUGAGGAAGGUAGGGGAGAAUGGAAUUCCUGGUGGAGCGGUGGAAUGCGCAGAUAUCAGGAGGAACACCAGUGGCGAAGGCGGUUCUCUGGGCCUUUCCUGGCGCUGAGGAGCGAAAGCGUGGGGAGCGAACAGGCUUAGAUACCCUGGUAGUCCACGCUGUAAACGGUGGGUACUAGGUGUGGGGUCCAUUCCACGGGUUCCGUGCCGUAGCUAACGCUUUAAGUACCCCGCCUGGGGAGUACGGCCGCAAGGCUAAAACUCAAAGGAAUUGACGGGGCCCCGCACAAGCGGCGGAGCAUGCGGAUUAAUUCGAUGCAACGCGUAGAACCUUACCUGGGUUUGACAUGGAUCGGGAGUGCUCAGAGAUGGGUGUGCCUCUUUUGGGGUCGGUUCACAGGUGGUGCAUGGCUGUCGUCAGCUCGUGUCGUGAGAUGUUGGGUUAAGUCCCGCAACGAGCGCAACCCUUGUUCACUGUUGCCAGCACGUUAUGGUGGGGACUCAGUGGAGACCGCCGGGGUCAACUCGGAGGAAGGUGGGGAUGACGUCAAGUCAUCAUGCCCCUUAUGUCCAGGGCUUCACGCAUGCUACAAUGGCUGGUACAGAGAGUGGCGAGCCUGUGAGGGUGAGCGAAUCUCGGAAAGCCGGUCUCAGUUCGGAUUGGGGUCUGCAACUCGACCUCAUGAAGUCGGAGUCGCUAGUAAUCGCAGAUCAGCAACGCUGCGGUGAAUACGUUCCCGGGGCU
rnacentral:rRNA from 1 species